rnacentral:snoRNA from 1 species
GAUCAUAUUGUGGGCAUUCUCUUUGUAGAUCUUUGAAUGUUUCCCAGACUUCAAACAAGCCCUCGUCUGCCUGCUGUGUAAUAGAAAUCAUCUGGCUUCUCAGACG